ensembl:lncRNA
AUAUAUAUAUAUAUAUAUAUAUAUAUAUAUAAAUUAGGGCUGCGAUUAAUGUUGCCUAGAUUAGUGCAACAAAAUAUUUUUAAUGUUGUUAACGUUGGUUUGUUGACCGCUAGCUGCAGUCAGUUAAAUCAAGAUGGAGAGAGCGUUUGGCGUUGGAAGUAAAUGGAACAUAAAGACACAUGAAAUCAGAGGAAUUCAAGCAGAAACUCUAUUACACAGAUUUAUUCAUCGUAUAUUUCAUUUAAUUAUUAGCUGUUAAUUAUUAAGUAAUAAACUGUUAGGACCAAAACAAGUUACUUAUUAGAAACAUGUUUCAUCUUGUGGGCAAAGAUAGACAUUCAAAUCAAGGAGUAGAAAGUAAAUCCCACAUAAUAUAACGUUUUCGUGGUGAUAUACUGUAGUUCCCCGACAUGACAAUUUACCCUCUGUGUCAAUUAGGUCCCUGAGGGUUUUAAAGUCUUUCGGGGGGACAUCGGGAUCCACAGUUCGGACAUAUGAUGUCAUGUCGCUUCAACCUUAACUCUCUCUAGGUCAUUUUUUGGGUCAUGAAAAUGAAUUCUAACAUUUUAGUGAGAUGAACAUUUAGCGUGAAGCUGAAUGAAAGAAAAAGAAGCCCAGGAGCCUGUGGACCUUUUCGGUGUUUGUCUCUUUGGGUCCAGUCCAACGAGGCCCAGCUGCAAUGCUGACUACCAAUCUAAAACCGUGUGUGUGUGUGUGUGUGUGUGUGUGCGCGUGUGUGUUCAUAUCUGGCUGCCUGCACAGACCCUCCCCUGAACACACUGGUCGCACACAGAGACACAGUCUUCAUAAACCUGCCUUUUAAUUUCCCGUCUGGUGUUAAUAUCCGUUCUUACAGUAGAUGAACACACAUGCACACAGCGGAACGCACACACAUUCUCAUUGUCUCCCUCUGCUGUGUCGGUCGAUCUGAGCUGCUGAUCUUUGCCAUGAAAACCAACACACAGAAGACAAAAACAUUCAAAAACAAAAGCAGAAGGCAAAAGGCAAGAAAUAUUACAUUCCAUCAAAUGGAGAUAUUGCCAACAUCUUCAACAGGGGCUGUUUUUACAGUACAUCCAUCGGUAGAAGCAACUCGGUCUUUUCUGCGGGCGGGUGUGGUCGGUGUUAAUCGGCCACACCAGUUUUGAAUUAAAGGAGCAUUUUACGUGCACAGUCAUACAUUUCUAACCUGUCUAGACUUUCACUUGCCUUCUUGGCUGAGAGGGAUCCUGAAUACAUCAGGAUGAACAGUCAGGCUUUUCAUUGGAGAUGCCAACCUCCAUCACAGCUACCCGAGGAGGAGGAGGAGGGAGGUCGCAGUCCCAUAAAGUACGUGCUAUCAGCUGCAUUGUAUUCUAAUUGGCUCCUAUUGGAGGGUUUCCAAUGAGAAAUAACGAAGGCUUUGUUAGACAGAACCUCACACAACACACACACACACACACACGCACGGAUACACGUCCGUGCAUCCACACACAGCAACAGGGCUGCAGCGUCUGACUGUUCACCGUCUGAAUUAAACGUGUGUGUGUGUGUGUGGUGUGUAGAGAAGUUUAUUAUCAGCUGACGGCCCAAAACCAAACACACACAAUGUUCACACCUGAGGUUUGUGUGUCUGUCUAUUUAUGGGCAAAUAUAAUGGAUUUAUUUAUAUUCCACCAAUCACAUUUAAUUCUUAAAUUCUGCAUGAAUUGACUUUAUCACCCAAAGGGUUUCUGACCCCCCCGUCUCAUAUCUAUUUCCGUGCUGCUUUACUUCCUUAAUUCCCCAGGUUUGCAUCGUCAUUCGAUACGUUGAGCCUCUAAUAAAACUGAUGACACUUCUAUCAGAUUUCAAAAGUUAGGAGAAUGUUAAUCUCAACCUCAUAGACCAUUGAAACGAGUUAAAAUGUUGACAUUCGUCGUCCAACCUUCCAGAUAGUAAAUGGAUGAUUAGGAUUAGAGGUCAUACGGCUGCACAUGUUAGUUUUCAUCACAGCGUCAAUGAAGCUGAAUCGAUGCUCUCAGGUGUAAUUGAAGCGUUCGAGUACCCGCUGCGACCAGAGAGGGCAGGAGAGUUCAGCCAAUGUACCUCCUGCACC